UGCCAGACUCCUACGGGAGGCAGCAGUGGGGAAUAUUGCACAAUGGGGGAAACCCUGAUGCAGCGACGCCGCGUGAGCGAUGAAGUAUUUCGGUAUGUAAAGCUCUAUCAGCAGGGAAGAAAAUGACGGUACCUGACUAAGAAGCCCCGGCUAACUACGUGCCAGCAGCCGCGGUAAUACGUAGGGGGCAAGCGUUAUCCGGAUUUACUGGGUGUAAAGGGAGCGUAGACGGCUGUGCAAGCCAGAUGUGAAAGCCCGGGGCUCAACCCCGGGACUGCAUUUGGAACUGUGUGGCUGGAGUGUCGGAGAGGCAGGCGGAAUUCCUAGUGUAGCGGUGAAAUGCGUAGAUAUUAGGAGGAACACCAGUGGCGAAGGCGGCCUGCUGGACGAUGACUGACGUUGAGGCUCGAAAGCGUGGGGAGCAAACAGGAUUAGAUACCCGGGUAC
rnacentral:rRNA from 1 species